CCCCUAGAUGUUCUGGGCCGCACGCGCGCUACACUGAACAGUUCAACAAGUCUUAACCUUGGCCGAUAGGUCUGGGUAAUCUCCAAAUUUCGUCGUGAUGGGGAUAGAUUAUUGCAAUUAUUAAUCUUCAACGAGGAAUGCCUAGUAAGCGCAAGUCAUCAGCUUGCGUUGAUUACGUCCCUGCCCUUUGUACACACCGCCCGUCGCUCCUACCGAUUGAAUGGUCCGGUGAAGCGUUCGGACCGUGGCCUUUGGACGGUUCGCCGUCUGUUGGCUGCGGGAAGUUCGUUAAACCUUNUNAUUUAUNGGAAGGAGAANUCGUANCA
rnacentral:rRNA from 1 species